GACGAACGCUGGCGGCGUGCUUAACACAUGCAAGUCAAACGGAAAGGCCCUGCUUUUGUGGGGUGCUCGAGUGGCGAACGGGUGAGUAACACGUGAGUAACCUGCCCUUGCCUUUGGGAUAACUUCAGGAAACUGGGGCUAAUACCGGAUAGGAGCUCCUGCUGCAUGGUGGGGGUUGGAAAGUUUCGGCGGUUGGGGAUGGACUCGCGGCUUAUCAGCUUGUUGGUGGGGUAGUGGCUUACCAAGGCUUUGACGGGUAGCCGGCCUGAGAGGGUGACCGGCCACAUUGGGACUGAGAUACGGCCCAGACUCCUACGGGAGGCAGCAGUGGGGAAUAUUGCACAAUGGGCGGAAGCCUGAUGCAGCAACGCCGCGUGCGGGAUGACGGCCUUCGGGUUGUAAACCGCUUUCGCCUGUGACGAAGCGUGAGUGACGGUAAUGGGUAAAGAAGCACCGGCUAACUACGUG
rnacentral:rRNA from 1 species